rnacentral:rRNA from 1 species
GACGAACGCUGGCGGCGUGCUUAAUACAUGCAAGUCGAACGGACAGGCCCUGCUCUUGUGGGUUGCUCGAUUGGCGAACAGGUGAGUAACACGUGUGUAACCUGCCCUUGUCUUUGGGAUAAAAUCACGAAACUGGGGCGAAUACCGGAGAUGAUCUAUUGCUGCACAUGGGGGAAUGGUAAGUUUCGGCUGUUGUGGAUGUUCUCGCUGGUUACCCGCUUGUUGGUGUGGUAGGGGCUUACCAAGGUUAUGAAGGGUAGCCGGCCUGGGAGGCUUACCGGCGACAUUGGUACUGAGGUAGGGACCAGACGCCUACGGGCGGCAGCAGUGGGGAAUAUUGCACAAUGGGCGGAAGUCAGAUGCAGCAACGCCGCGUGCGGGAUGACGUCCUUCGGGUUAUAAACCAAUUUCGCCUGAGACGAAGAGUGAGUGACGGUAAUGGGUAAGAAAGCAACGGCUAACUACGUG